GAAAGCUGCAUACUGGAAAUCAGUCCGUGCAGUUUGAUGAGGAGGUGGAGGUUGGAAAGCCUCUGCUUUACUCUAC
rnacentral:ncRNA from 1 species